rnacentral:lncRNA from 1 species
AAGCGAAAACGUCCGCAUUCUUUUGUAGAAAAUCAAUGAGAUGCGUCCGCACCUCCUCCCCUAGGUUGGAGCCGAUCAUUGCUACAUGCUCCGCGUUUCCGUCGUUCAAAGCGAUUGGUACCAGAUCUUCGAUUGGGGCACCCCUCUCUUCGGUGAGGUCAUCGCGAGCGUCCAGUCCAUCGAUGGGGCAGGAGUCAGAUUGAUCGCCUCUUUGCAAGGUUAUAUUGUAGCAGUGUCUGGCC